rnacentral:rRNA from 1 species
AACGAACGCUGGCGGCAGGCUUAACACAUGCAAGUCGAACGCCCCGCAAGGGGAGUGGCAGACGGGUGAGUAACGCGUGGGAAUCUACCCAGAUCUUCGGAACAACUGAGGGAAACUUCAGCUAAUACCGGAUACGCCCUACGGGGAAAGAUUUAUCGGUUCUGGAUGAGCCCGCGUUGGAUUAGCUAGUUGGUGAGGUAAUGGCUCACCAAGGCGACGAUCCAUAGCUGGUCUGAGAGGAUGAUCAGCCACACUGGGACUGAGACACGGCCCAGACUCCUACGGGAGGCAGCAGUGGGGAAUAUUGGACAAUGGGCGAAAGCCUGAUCCAGCCAUGCCGCGUGAGUGAUGAAGGCCUUAGGGUUGUAAAGCUCUUUCAGUAGGGAAGAUAAUGACGGUACCUACAGAAG